GAUGAACGCUGGCGGCGUGCCUAAUACAUGCAAGUCGAGCGAACAGACGAGGAGCUUGCUCCUCUGACGUUAGCGGCGGACGGGUGAGUAACACGUGGAUAACCUACCUAUAAGACUGGGAUAACUUCGGGAAACCGGAGCUAAUACCGGAUAAUAUAUUGAACCGCAUGGUUCAAUAGUGAAGGACGGUUUUGCUGUCACUUAUAGAUGGAUCCGCGCCGCAUUAGCUAGUUGGUAAGGUAACGGCUUACCAAGGCGACGAUGCGUAGCCGUCCUGAGAGGGUGAUCGGCCACACUGGAACUGAGACACGGUCCAGACUCCUACGGGAGGCAGCAGUAGGGAAUCUUCCGCAAUGGGCGAAAGCCUGACGGAGCAACGCCGCGUGAGUGAUGAAGGUCUUCGGAUCGUAAAACUCUGUUAUUAGGGAAGAACAAAUGUGUAAGUAACUAUGCACGUCUUGACGGUACCUAAUCAGAAAGCCACGGCUAACUACGUG
rnacentral:rRNA from 1 species